CUGAAAUCAGGUGGGAUUACCC
rnacentral:rRNA from 4 species